UACAGAGGGUGCUAGCGUUGUUCGGAAUUACUGGGCGUAAAGGGCGCGUAGGCGGCCUGUUAAGUCGAACGUGAAAUCCCUCGGCUUAACCGAGGAACUGCCUGUCAGACUGCAUUGCUUGAGUCCGGGAGAGGUGAGUGGAAUUCCCAGUGUAGCGGUGAAAUGCGUAGAUAUUGGGAGGAACACCAGUGGCGAAGGCAGCUCGCUGGGACGGUACUGACGCUGAGACGCGAAAGCGUGGGGAGCGAACAGG
rnacentral:rRNA from 1 species